CGGAGGCAGCAGUGGGGAAUAUUGGGCAAUGGGCGCAAGCCUGACCCAGCCAUGCCGCGUGCAGGAUGACGGCGCUAUGCGUUGUAAACUGCUUUUGUUCGGGAAGAAACCCAUCUACGUGUAGGUGGUUGACGGUACCGAAAGAAUAAGCAUCGGCUAACUCCGUGCCAGCAGCCGCGGUAAUACGGAGGAUGCGAGUGUUAUCCGGAUUCAUUGGGUUUAAAGGGUGCGUAGGCGGAAUAUUAAGUCAGCGAUGAAAUCCUGCAGCUUAACUGUAGAACUGUCAUUGAUACUGGUAUUCUUGAAUUCAGUUGAGGUAGGCGGAAUGUGUAAUGUAGCGGUGAAAUGCUUAGAUAUUACACAGAACACCGAUUGCGAAGGCAGCUUACUAAACUGUUAUUGACGCUGAGGCACGAAAGCGUGGGGAGCAAACAGGAUUAGAUACCCUCGUAU
rnacentral:rRNA from 1 species